rnacentral:rRNA from 1 species
CGUUGGGAGCUCUCCCAUAUGGUCGACCUGCAGGCGGCCGCGAAUUCACUAGUGAUUCGUAUUACCGCGGCUGCUGGCACGUAGUUAGCCGGUGCUUCUUUACCCAUUACCGUCACUCACGCUUCGUCACAGGCGAAAGCGGUUUACAACCCGAAGGCCGUCAUCCCGCACGCGGCGUUGCUGCAUCAGGCUUCCGCCCAUUGUGCAAUAUUCCCCACUGCUGCCUCCCGUAGGAGUCUGGGCCGUGUCUCAGUCCCAGUGUGGCUGAUCAUCCUCUCAGACCAGCUAAGGAUCGUCGCCUUGGUGCGCCUUUACCACACCAACUAGCUAAUCCUACGCGGGCUCAUCCCUCGGCGAUAAAUCUUUGGACUUACGUCGUCAUCCGGUAUUAGCAGUCAUUUCUAACUGUUAUUCCGAACCAAGGGGCAGAUUCCCACGCGUUACGCACCCGUGCGCCACUAAGGCCGAAGCCUUCGUUCGACUUGCAUGUGUUAGGCAUGCCGCCAGCGUUCGUUCUGAGCCAUGAUCAAACUCUAAUCGAAUUCCCGCGGCCG